CUCAUUGCGGAGGAGGAGGAAGGAGGAGGGGGAGGCGGUGAGGCCGGUUUGCCGCUGAAGACGGCGCAGUGGAACCAGAAGGAGUCGAAGAGCUCGAGGACGUGCUCUGCUGCAGACAUGUGUCGUGUCGGCAGGAGAGAGAGAGAGAGAGAGAGAGAGGACGAGAGCUCCGAAGAAGUUGAGAGAGGGAACUAGGUUAGGGAGAUUAGGGAGGAGAAAGGUUCGAUAUUUAUGCGGGGUGGAUUACGGAGAUGCCCCUGAGUUCGAGUUGAUAUCGCGUGCGGAAUCUUCGGCGGAGACCGAUGGGUUAAACGUUGGUUUUUAUUUAAGGAGGUUCGAAGUAAAGAAACUCAUGGUGGUCGUCGACACGGGAGUCGCGUUUCGUUUGACUGAUUUCACGAGCUAACUACCGCCUGCCUGUCGGCUAUAGAAUACACAACUUGUUGAUUUGAAUAGUGGCACGUGAGGGAUGCAGAGAGAAAUAAAUAUAGUCCUUUCGAGAGGCCGUUGGGUGAAACAUGCACGUUUCUUUAACCCUAACGAGAAAAAUUAGGUUAUCUUGUGAAUUUGUUUAUUCGGGCGCGACGUGUCUUUUGAAAGUCGUACAUUGGUGUUUGUAUUAAAUAGUUGCUGCUCCGAAAGAUCAUCAAUGGAAACGCGAGUGUUCCCC
rnacentral:lncRNA from 1 species